UACAAUAGAAACACUAACAAACCUAUUUACUGCUUCUUAGCAAAUUUUUGUUGGUUUUAGCCUCUUUUGGGAGAAAAUGGGUAUAAGUGUCGUCUAAACACUCCUAAUCCAUCUCUAACUCUUUUUAUUAGUCAAAUGCAUUGGAUUGUGACACAUUUUGACCAUAAAAACACUAACAAAACUGUUUACUACUUCUAAGCAAUGUUUUUGUUGUUUUAGCCUCUUUUGGGAGAAAAUGGGUAUAAGUAUUGUCUAAACACUCCAAAUCCAUCUCUAACUCUUAUAAUUAGUCAAAGGCUUUGGAUUGUGACACAUUUUGACCAUAGAAACACUAACAAAGCUAUUUACUGCCUCUAAGCAAUUUUUUGUUGGUUUUAGCCGCUUUAGGGAGAAAAUGGGUAUAAGUGAUGUUUAAACACUCGUAAUCCAUCUCUAACUCAUAUAAUUAGUCAAAUGCUUUGGAUUGUGACACAUUUUGACCAUACCAAGACUAACAAAGCUAUUUACUGCUUCUAAGCAAUUUUUUCUUGGUUUUAGCGUCUUUUGGGAGAAAAUGGAAAUAAGUGUUGUCUAAACACUCCUAACACAUCUUUAACUCUUAUAAUUAGUCAAAUGCAUUGGAUUGUGACACAUUUUGACCAUAAAAACACUAACAAAACUGUUUACUGCUUGUAAGAAUUUUUUUGUUGGUUUUAACCUCUUUUGGGAGAAAAUGGGUAUAAGUGUUGUCAAAACACCCCUAAUCCAUCUCUAACUCAUAUAAACAGUUAAAUGUAAUGGAUUGCGAUACAUAUUACCAUUGAACCACUAACAAAGCUAUUUAGUGUUUGUAAGCAAUAUUUUGUUGGUUGUACCUUCUUUUGGGAGAAAAUGGGUAUAAGUGUUGUCUAAACACUCCUAAUCCAUCUCUAACACUUAUAAUUAGUCAAAUGCAUUAGAUUGUGACAUAUUUUGACAAUAGAAACACUAACAAAGCUAUUUACUGUUUCUAAGCAAUUUUUUGUUGGUUUUAGCCUCUUUAGGGAGAAAAUGAGUAUAAGUGUUGUCUACACACUCCUAAUCCAUCUCUAACUCUUAUAACUAGUUAAAUGCUUUGGAUUGUGACACAUUUUGACCAUAGAAACACUCAUAAAGCUAUUUACUGCUUCUAAGCAAUUUUUUGUAGGUAUUAGCCUAU
rnacentral:sRNA from 1 species